AUUGAACGCUGGCGGCAGGCCUAACACAUGCAAGUAUAACGAUUGGCGGACGGGUGAGUACUGUCUGGGAAAAUUCCUGAUGGGGUGGGCUAACUACUGGACACGGUAGCUAAUACCGCAUACCCUCAGAUGUGCCCCGAUGGGAUUGGCUUGGUGGGGGGGGAACGGCUCACCAAGUCGACGAUCCCUAGCUGGUCUGAGAGGCUGACCAGCCACACGGGAACUGAGACACGGUCCAGACUCCGACGGGAGGCAGCAGUGGGGAAUAUUGCACAAUGGGCGCAAGCCUGAUGCAGCCAUGCAGCGUGUAUGAAGAAGGCCUUCGGGUUGUAAAGUACUUUCAGCGGGGAGGCGUUACCCGCAGAAGAAGCACCGGCUAACUCCGUGCCAGCAGCCGCGGUAAUAC
rnacentral:rRNA from 1 species